rnacentral:rRNA from 1 species
UACGUAGGGUGCGAGCGUUGUCCGGAAUUAUUGGGCGUAAAGAGCUCGUAGGCGGUGUGUCACGUCGUUCGUGAAAACCUGCAGCUUAACUGUGGGCGUGCGGUCGAUACGGGCAUCACUGGAGUUCGGCAGGGGAGACUGGAAUUCCUGGUAUAGCGGUGAAAUGCGCAGAUAUCAGGAGGAACACCGGUGGCGAAGGCGGGUCUCUGGGCCGAUACUGACGCUGAGGAGCGAAGGCCAGGGGAGCAAACGGG